UUACAUUUAGUUGGUAUCAGAGCAGGGAUAUGACCUCUAGGGCAUAGAAGUACGGUUAGGAUUUUUGAGUGAUAUAGUAUCUAAGAUAUGUUUAUAUGUGCAGAAGGCGAUGGAAGGAGCAUCCAAUGAACAGGCUGCACAAAGGAGUCCAGCUGACCACCAACCAUCUGGUAGUGGAUCACAUACUCCACAUGAGUCUAGACACGAGGAGUCUAUACCUAUUCCACAAGAAUCUAGGCAUGAGGCCACUGUAGAAGUAGAAAGACAAGUACCUGAGCAGCAAGCUAUGUCAGAACCCCAAGUUGUACGUAGGAAUGCACCAGUUAAACGGAAUUAUAAAGAACUUAGGAAGCUAGGGGCGACUGAUUUCUAUGGUACUGUAGAUCCAACUGAAGCUGAGUCAUGGUUAAAAAGGACAAAGAGAGUGUUUAAUAUGAUGCAUUGCGGAGACGAAGAGAAGUUUGAUUAUGCAGUAUCCUUACUCCAAGAUGACGCUUAUGAUUGGUGGGAGACUGUUCCUGACUCAGAUGCUCAACCACCAAAACUUACUUGGGAUGAUUUUCAGCGAGAGUUUAAGGAUAAGUAUAUGCCAGAGAUCUAUAGGGAUGAAAAACAAAGAGAGUUUUUGAAUUUGAAGCAAGGAAAUAUGACGGUAGCUGAGUACGAAGUCAAGUUCACCCAAUUGUCCCGAUAUGCCUCAUCAAUGGUGGCAACUGAGAGGGACAAAUGUAGACGUUUUGAGGAAGGUCUCAAGUAUGAGAUCAGGAGUAAAAUUACUAUUGGAGAACUUAGGAGUUAUACGGGAGUACGAAGUCAAGUUCACCCAAUUGUCCCGAUAUGCCUCGUCAAUGGUGGCAACUGAGAGGGAUAAAUGUAGACGUUUUGAGGAAGGUCUCAAGUAUGAGAUCAGGAGUAAAAUUACUAUUGGAGAACUUAGGAGUUAUACAGAUUUGAGGGCUGCAGCGAUUCGAGCUGAACGCUUGAUUAAAGAGAAGCCUGCUUUCUUCUCAAAGUCAAAGAGAGAAGGAACAAGAUUUGCUGGAGAGGCUGGUGGAAGGCCUAAGAAGCGUCCAAAUGCUAGUGCACCCACUAAAUCUAUCACAAGAGGAGGUUUUUCUGGUUCUCAAGGCGGGAGAUUGAAUAACCCUCGAUCAAAUCCAACUCUUAGCCGAGGUUCAAAUGUACAGGUGAAGCCUACAUGUCAAACUUGCGGAAGGCAACAUUUUGGGCAAUGUAGAGCUCAAACGGGAGGAUGUUAUUUGUGUGGGGAACAAGGCCAUUUCAUUAGAGACUGUCCCAACAAAAGGGAAAAUGUACAGGCUGUAUCUGAACCAAGUGUUCAGAAUGUAGCAGUGAAAGGAGUUGGUACAUCUUUUGGAAGAGGUAGAGGCAAGAAGGGUACAGGUAGCACUGGUGGAGGCAUUGGAAGAUCACAGGCUCAGGCAAGAAGGGUACAGGUAGCACUGGGGGAGGCAUUGGAAGAUCACAGGUUCAAAGUUCAAAUCCACCAACCCAGGCACGAGUUUUUGCAUUAACGAGAGGAGAGGCAGAAGUUGCACCUGAGGUUAUAACGGGUAAAGUUCUCUUAUAUCAAUUAGAUGCGUAUGCUCUUAUCGACCCUGGUUCAACACAUUCAUUCAUAUCAUCUAAAAUAACAUCUCACUUGCAUAUAAGUCAUGAAAUACUAGAUCUUAAAGUAAAUGUUCAUACACCACUAGGGGAAGUGGAAGUAGUAGAUCAAAUAUAUAGAGACUGUCCUAUCGAAAUAGGAAAUAUGGAAUUAAAAGCAGACUUGAUAGUAUUGCCUUUUCAAGAGUUUGAUAUCAUACUAGGCAUGGAUUGGUUGGCAAGACAUCAUGCUAAAGUUGAUUGUUACGCUAAAGAAGUUAUGAUCGACUCGCCAGGACAAGGGAAAGUCGUAUUUCAAGGAGAACGUAGGAUGAUACUUAGUUGUUUAAUUUCGGCUAUGAGUGCUUUUAAGAUGAUUAGAAAGGGCUGUGAAGCGUAUUUAGCACACGUGGUAGACCCGAACACUAACUCAACUAAACUUGAGACUAUUCCAAUAGUUCGAGAAUUCCCAGAUGUGUUUCCAGAUGAUUUGCCAGGAAUGCCGCCGGAUAGAGACAUAGAGUUUAGUAUUGAGACAGUUCCUGGUAGUACCCCUAUUUCUAUUCCUCCUUACCAAAUGGCACCCGUAGAGUUAAAAGAGUUAAAGAAGCAGUUGAUAGAAUUAUUGGAAAAAGGUUUUAUCCGUCCAAGUGUUUCACCAUGGGGAGCGCCAGUAUUAUUUGUCAAAAAGAAGGAUGGAACUAUGAGGCUAUGUAUCGAUUACCGAAAAUUAAAUCAAGUCACAAUUAAGAACAAAUAUCCAUUACCAAGAAUAGAUGACUUAUUUGAUCAAUUACAAGGGGCUCAAGUGUUUUCAAAGAUUGAUUUGAGAUCAGGAUAUCAUCAAUUGAAGAUUGCCAAGGAAGAUAUCCCAAAGACUGCUUUCCGAACUAGAUAUGGUCACUUUGAAUUUCUAGUUAUGCCGUUUGGGUUAACAAAUGCUCCAGCUGUGUUUAUGGCACUUAUGAACAAAGUGUUUCAACCUUUUCUGGAUAAAUUUGUUAUAGUAUUCAUCGAUGACAUAUUGGUAUAUUCAAAGAGUAAAUCUGAGCAUGAAGAGCAUUUAAGAACAGCUUUACAAAUCUUAAGAGAAAACCAAUUAUAUGCUAAGCUGAGUAAAUGUGAGUUUUGGUUGGACCAUGUCGUAUUCCUAGGACAUGUUAUUUCUAGUAAAGGAAUUGAAGUGGACCCAAAGAAAAUAGAGGCUAUAUGGAAUUGGGAAGUACCCAAGAAUGUUACAGAAGUGAGGAGUUUCCUAGGAAUGGCUGGUUAUUACAGACGUUUUGUUGAAGGAUUUUCUAAGAUUGCCGGACCAAUGACCAAAUUACUCAGAAAGAAUGUUCCUUUUCAAUGGACUGAAGAAGCUCAACAAAGUUUUGAUGAAUUAAAGCGAAGAUUGACAUCCGCUCCAGUGUUGACUACACCAUCAGGACAAGGUGGUUUUGUAGUAUAUAGUGAUGCGUCACAACAAGGUUGAACAAAUAUCCAUUACCAAGAAUAGAUGACUUAUUUGAUCAAUUACAAGGGGCUCAAGUGUUUUCAAAGAUUGAUUUGAGGUCAGGAUAUCAUCAAUUGAAGAUUGCCAAGGAAGAUAUUCCGAAGACUGCUUUCCGAACUAGAUAUGGUCACUUUGAAUUUCUAGUUAUGCCGUUUGGGUUAACAAAUGCUCCAGCUGUGUUUAUGGCACUUAUGAACAAAGUGUUUCAACCUUUUCUGGAUAAAUUUGUUAUAGUAUUCAUCGAUGACAUAUUGGUAUAUUCAAAGAGUAAAUCUGAGCAUGAAGAGCAUUUAAGAACAGCUUUACAAACCUUAAGAGAAAACCAAUUAUAUGCUAAGCUGAGUAAAUGUGAGUUUUGGUUGGACCAUGUCUUAUUCCUAGGACAUGUUAUUUCUAGUAAAGGAAUUGAAGUGGACCCAAAGAAAAUAGAGGCUAUAUGGAAUUGGGAAGUACCCAAGAAUGUUACAGAAGUGAGGAGUUUCCUAGGAAUGGCUGGUUAUUACAGACGUUUUGUUGAAGGAUUUUCCAAGAUUGCCGGACCAAUGACCAAAUUACUCAGAAAGAAUGUUCCUUUUCAGUGGACUGAAGAAGCUCAACAAAGUUUUGAUGAAUUAAAGCGAAGAUUGACAUCUGCUCCAGUGCUGACUACACCAUCAGGACAAGGUGGUUUUGUAGUAUAUAGUGAUGCGUCACAACAAGGCUUAGGAUGUGUCCUUAUGCAACAUGGAAAAGUUAUAGCCUAUGCUUCAAGACAGCUCAGACCGCAUGAGAAGUCAUAUCCUGUACAUGAUCUAGAAUUGGCAGCAAUUGUUUUUGCAUUGAAAAUUUGGAGGCAUUACUUAUACGGGGAGACAUUUCAGAUUUUUACAGACCAUAAGAGUCUAAAGUAUUUAAUGAGUCAGAAAGAGUUGAAUAUGAGACAGAGAAGAUGGGUGGAACUUUUAAAGGAUUAUGAUUGUACGUUAGAAUAUCACCCAGGAAAGGCCAAUAUAGUGGCAGACGCUUUAAGUCGGAAAUGUAGUAGCGUAGCAAAUCUUCAAGGAUCGACGUUCCCAUCUUUAGUUGAAUUAAGAAAGAUGAAUAUUGGGUUAGAGGUUGACACCUGUGGAGUUUUAUUGGCUACACUAAAUAUCCGACCAGUGUUGAAGGAAAGGAUCCAGAAGGCACAAAUAAAUGAUCCUAAAUUAAGAGACGCAGUCGAGAGAGUAAGACAAGGUCAAGUACUAGGAUCAGUUCACGUUAUAUGAGGAUACUUUAAUGUUAGGAAACAGAAUUUGCGUUCCUGAUGAUGAAGACUUACGACGAGAAAUACUAGAUGAAGCUCAUAAUGCUCCAUAUGCAAUGCAUCCCGGAGCAACAAAAAUGUAUAACACGAUGAAAUCUCAUUAUUGGUGGUCUGGAAUGAAAAAAGAUGUGGCAGAGUUUACAGCCAAAUGUUUAACGUGUCAACAAGUGAAAGUGGAACAUCAAGCUCCAGCUGGGAAGUUACAUCCGUUGUCGAUUCCUGAGUGGAAGUGGGAAAAGAUCACUAUGGAUUUUGUAACAAAUUUACCCAAGACAAGGAAGGGAAAUGAUGCAAUAUGGAUCAUUGUUGAUCGACUUACCAAAUCAGCUCAUUUUCUACCAAUACGUUGGGGUUGCACACUAGAUCAUUUAGCUCAAAGGUAUGUGAAUGAGAUUGUACGAUUACAUGGAGUACCAAUAUCCAUUGUUUCAGAUAGAGAUCCAAGAUUUACUUCUAGAUUUUGGAAAAGUUUACAAGAAGCAAUGGGUACAAGAUUGAAUUUUAGUACAGCCUUUCAUCCUCAGACUGAUGGGCAAUCUGAAAGAACCAUUCAAACGUUAGAGGAAAUGUUAAGAGCGUGUGUGAUUGAGUUUAAAGGUUCAUGGGAUGAAUAUAUUGCUUUGAUGGAAUUCGCCUACAACAAUCAUUUCCAUAGCAGUAUUGGAAUGGCACCUUAUGAAGCCUUGUAUGGACGGAAGUGCAGAAGUCCCUUGUACUGGGAUAAAGAAGGUACUAUCAUUUUAGAAGGGCCAGAACUUGUCCAGAAUGCAGUAGAUAAGGUAAACAUUGUAAAAGCAAAGCUGAAGGCUACCCAAGAUCGACAGAAAAGUUAUGUGGACCAAAAUAGAAGAGAGAUGGAAUAUCAAGUAGGUGAUAAAGUAUUUCUGAAAGUAUCACCAUGGAAAGGGGUGAUGAGAUUCGGCAAUAAAGGGAAGUUGAGUCCUAGGUAUAUUGGACCAUAUGAAAUAAUUGAGAAGAUAGGACCACUUGCCUAUAGAUUAGCAUUGCCCCCAGAACUUUCUCAAAUCCAUGAUGUAUUUCAUGUAAGCAUGUUACGAAGAUAUAGGUCAGAUCCUACACACGUUUUGAAGGACCCCGGGAUAGAAAUCAAUGACAAUUUGAGUUACAUUGAAGAACCUGUCAAGAUAAUAGGGCACAAGACCAAACAACUGAGGAAUAGAGAAAUACCGCUAGUCAAAGUACUAUGGAGAAACCACGCAGUGGAAGAAGCCACAUGGGAGACAGAGGAGCAUAUGAGAAGCAAGUACCCUCACCUAUUCGACAAUCCAGGUACAUUUUUGAAUUUUGAGGACAAAAUUCUUUAAAGGGGGGAAGAGUUGUCACACCCUGGUCCCAAACAAAUGCUUAUAUAAUACUUUUGAAUGUAUUAAAAUAGUUUUCGGGAUUUUUAGAUUUAACAAAAAUAUUUUGUUUUAGGAUUUAUAAGGAAUUUGCGAAUAGUAAGGUGACCCUAUAAAGGAGAAAGGACAUGAAGGGG
rnacentral:lncRNA from 1 species